ACAUUUAAUUUAAUUUAUUAAAUCUAAAAAUCAAACUUAUCUUAAACGUAAAAAGACAUUUAUCUAAUAGAAAGACGACAAGACCCUAUUGAACUUAACUUAAGUUAAACUGGGGUAGUUAAUUAAUUAUUAUUUUAAUCUAAUUAAAACUUAAUACAUCUACUAUAAUUAAAUCAUUCAGUUACCAUAGGGAUAACAGCGUAAUAAUAUUUUUAAGUCCUCAUAUAAAAUCCAGAUUACGACCUCGAUGUUGAAUUAAUUACCUAUUUAAAGCAAAUUUUAAGAAAGGAAGUCUGUUCGACUUUUAAAAAAUUACAUGAUUUGAGUUCAGACCGGUGUAAGCCAGGUCGGCUUCCAUCUUCUCCAAAAAUUUCUACAGUACGAAAGGACCUACAAAUAUAAUAUAAUUAAUAAUAUUGGCAGAUAAAUGCAUUAGAAUUAGAAUCUAAUUAAUCUCCAA
rnacentral:rRNA from 1 species